AAUGAAAUUAUUUUGUUUGAGAAAGAGUUAAAAAGUUAAAACGUAUGGAUCUAAAUAAUUUUCUAAUGGGAGAUUUGGUACACCCCCAGAAGUUGUUUUUGGUUCAGAGAAUAGUCUUUCAGAUCUAGAAAGGACUUGAGGAGUCCCAGAGAGGUGCUGCCUGGUCUGAACCAUUUGAUGCUCACGACAGAAUGGAUAAAAACAAUUUGAACCAGGAAACCAUGCAGAUGUUCAUAUUUUGGAUAGGGUAAGGUCAGUGCCAUUGUCAGAGGAAAAACUCUUGGCCAUCACAGGAUGGGAGAGAAAGUUUGAGUUGUAAAGAAUACUCAAAUGCCAUUUAAGGAAACGGGUUCUUCUGCCCCUAUUCUUUGGAAUAUUUAGAGCUAAGUUCUUAGUUUUUGACAUCAUAAAAAUGUCAAAGUAUUCUGUUCUAAGAGCCAUUUCAAACAACUGACUAGAAUUUCAGAGCAAUUACAUGAGAGUAAUACCAUGAAAAUUUUUAAAUUACCCAUAGUCCUAUAUCCCUAACAAGUAUGUUCAUGUUUGCAUGUUCUCUUCUCAUCUUUACUGUGUGUCUACUUUCUUAGUAAUGGCACAUAGAAAUUGUUUAAGCAGGAAUAAUUCUCGAGAUAAUUUUGUAUGUUUCCUUUUUUCUUUUUAAGGUAUGUAUUGGGUGGAGGAGCAUUAUGUAUUGAACUUCUCACAGAACAGGGCUGAAGCAGUGCCUACUCGACAGAACCAGUCAUCAUGCAAAGAAAAGCCACCUGACUCAAAGGCAAAGCCAGAGUGCAGGUUGGAGGAAAGAAGGAGAAACUAACAAUGAAAAUGGACUUGUUGACAGAAGAAAAGUAGGAAUGCAGCCUCUGGUGCUGUUUGAGUGAUCCCUCUGCCCCAGGCCUGGCUGUGUGCUGCUGUGUUCUGGUAAGGUGCAUUGUAACCUUUCUGCGGCAGGUAAGAGUCCUGUACAGGUGCUCUGCCCACUUUACCUUUCAGGCUUCUGUAUCAGCUGUUUUUCCCUUGUAGAAUGUGCCUCUGACCUGUGCCCCUGACU